UUCUCAAAUCAGGCGAGACUACCCGCUGAACUUAAGCAUAUCACUAAGCGGAGGAAAAGAAACUAACCAGGAUUCCCCUAGUAACGGCGAGUGAACCGGGAAGAGCUCAAGCUGAAAAUCUUCGGAAUUGUAGUCUAUAGGUGCGGACUCGCGUGGACCCGGGUAUAAAUCCGUUCCUGGAAUUGGGUGCCAGAGAGGGUUAGAGCCCCGUCUUUGACUCGGUGAACCACGCGUGGCGAGUACGCACCAGAGAGUCGGCUUGCUUGGGAAUGCAGGUCAAAAUGGGUGGUAAACUUCAUCUAAAGCUAAAUAUUGGCGAGAGACCGAUAGCGAACAAGUACUGUGAAGGAAAGAUGGAAAGAACUUUGAAAAGAGAGUGAAAAAGGGCUUGAAAUUGUUAAGAGGAGAAGUGGUUGGAGCAUAUCAUACCUAUUGGGGUCAAUGGUUGGGACUUGUCCUGGCCCUGUAAUCCUAGUGGGUUGGUCAGCAUCGGUUUUAUCUUGGGGAGACUGCUGUUACUGUGAAACCUAGUGAUCGGUAGCUGUGAAACCCGGGGUGAGACCGAGGCACAAAGAACGCGUAUAGCGACCGGCUUGAGCCCUGUUGCAUUGCAUUGUACCACUCUUCGGAGUGUUGCGUGUAAUGUGAUUGAUGCGAAGAGUGCAGGAUCUGCGUUCUGAAGAUGCUGGCACAAAUGGCUUCAACCAGCCCGUCUGGAAACACGGACCAAGGAGUCUAACACAUAUGCAAGUAGUAAGGUGGCAAACCUUGGAUGCGCAAUGAAAGUAAACGUAGGUGGGAUUCGCAAGAUGCACCAUCGACCGACCAGGAUCAUCAGUGAAAGGUUUGAGUAAGAGCAUAUUUGUUGGGACCCGAAAGAUGGUGAACUAUGCCUGAAUAGG
rnacentral:rRNA from 15 species